UACAGAGGUCCCAAGCGUUGUUCGGAUUCAUUGGGCGUAAAGGGUGCGUAGGUGGCGCCGUAAGUCGGGUGUGAAAUUUCAGAGCUUAACUCCGAAACUGCAUUCGAUACUGCGGUGCUUGAGGACUGGAGAGGAGACUGGAAUUCAUGGUGUAGCAGUGAAAUGCGUAGAGAUCAUGAGGAAGACCAGUGGCGAAGGCGGGUCUCUGGACAGUUCCUGACACUGAGGCACGAAGGCCAGGGGAGCAAACGGG
rnacentral:rRNA from 1 species